rnacentral:rRNA from 1 species
UACGUAGGUGGCGAGCGUUGUCCGGAUUUACUGGGCGUAAAGCGCGCGCAGGCGGACUGGUUAGUCCGGGGUGAAAUCUCACGGCUCAACCGUGAGCGGUCCCCGGAUACUGCCAGUCUCGAGGUGUCUAGAGGAGAGCGGAAUUCCCGGUGUAGUGGUGGAAUGCGCAGAUAUCGGGAAGAACACCAGUGGCGAAAGCGGCUCUCUGGGGACCACCUGACGCUGAGGCGCGAAAGCGUGGGGAGCGAACC